rnacentral:rRNA from 1 species
AGAACGAACGCUGGCGGCAUGCCUAAUACAUGCAAGUCGAACGAACUCUUCGGAGUUAGUGGCGCACGGGUGCGUAACGCGUGGGAAUCUGCCCCUUGGUUCGGAAUAACAGUUGGAAACGACUGCUAAUACCGGAUGAUGACGAAAGUCCAAAGAUUUAUCGCCAAGGGAUGAGCCCGCGUAGGAUUAGCUAGUUGGUGAGGUAAAGCUCACCAAGGCAACGAUCCUUAGCUGGUCUGAGAGGAUGAUCAGCCACACUGGGACUGAGACACGGCCCAGACUCCGUACGGGACGGCAGCCGAGGUAGGGAAUAGUUGGGAACAAGGGGUGGGACGAAAGCCGUAGGACUCCGAGCAAUCGCCGCGUGAGUGAUGAAGGCGUUAGGUUGUAAGCUCUUUACCGAG